UGUGUUCAAGGGCCGAGUGCUUCACUUCAGGCUAGAAAGUGUCUUGUGAUCUCUGGCAUCAACAGUUCUCUAAGGCUGCUUGCUGUGUGUGAGACGAGGGCCGUAGGUUAAAAGCAGACACCAAGGUUGUGGCCGUGUGCAUCUGGAAUCAAGGAAGCACACGGCCAUUCACCUGGGCAUCCAUGUGUCCUUCUCCUAGAACCCAGACCCCAUCGUGACUUCAUAAUGACAUCACUGAGCCUGGCUCUGAAUAAGUGACAAGUAGAAGACCAUUCUGCAUGACCCCUGCAGCAGUCUGAGGUAAAUUACGCUCAUUUCAGACCUGGGGAGCAGGCACAGCUUGUGGGACCUUUCUGUGGACAUACACAUGUAGGGUAGGCAGGUAGGGCGUUCGGAUCCCGUCCAUACCUUAGUACAAAAGCUCUACUAUGCAGUCGGUUCUGGAACAUUCCACUGGUCUUCCGCAGCCGAUACUCCCAGAGCCUUCAGCCCUUUCUUCUUCCAGGUCACAGAUGCCUGAACACCCCAGGGUGCCAACCACAUGUCUCUAUGAGCAGGCUGAGAGCUCAGUAAGGAGGCCACCCAACCCCAGUCACAGCCUUUGGGCUUUGUACUGUACUUGACAGAGAAAGUGCUCAGUAAAUACUUUUUUUUGAAAGAA
rnacentral:lncRNA from 1 species